rnacentral:rRNA from 1 species
AUACGUAGGGGGCAAGCGUUAUCCGGAUUUACUGGGUGUAAAGGGAGCGUAGACGGAAUGGCAAGUCUGAUGUGAAAGGCCGGGGCUCAACCCCGGGACUGCAUUGGAAACUGUCAGGCUAGAGUGCAGGAGGGGUAAGCGGAAUUCCUAGUGUAGCGGUGAACUGCGUAGAUAUUAGGAGGAACACCGGUGGCGAAGGCGGCUUACUGGACUGUAACUGACGUUGAGGCUCGAAAGCGUGGGGAGCAAACAGGAUUAGAUCCCCUGGUAGUCCACGCCGUAAACGAUGAAUACUAGGUGUUGGGUUCCAAUAGGGAUUCGGUGCCGCAGCUAACGCAAUAAGUAUUCCACCUGGGGAGUACGUUCGCAAGAAUGAAACUCAAAUGAAUUGACGGGG